rnacentral:rRNA from 1 species
GACGAACGCUGGCGGCGCGCCUAACACAUGCAAGUCGAACGAGCAGAGAGGAGCUUGCUUCUCUGAGCGAGUGGCGAACGGGUGAGUAACGCGUGAGGAACCUGCCUCAAAGAGGGGGACAACAGUUGGAAACGACUGCUAAUACCGCAUAAGCCCACAGGUCGGCAUCGACCAGAGGGAAAAGGAGCAAUCCGCUUUGAGAUGGCCUCGCGUCCGAUUAGCUAGUUGGUGAGGUAAUGGCCCACCAAGGCGACGAUCGGUAGCCGGACUGAGAGGUUGAACGGCCACAUUGGGACUGAGACACGGCCCAGACUCCUACGGGAGGCAGCAGUGGGGAAUAUUGCACAAUGGGGGAAACCCUGAUGCAGCGACGCCGCGUGGAGGAAGAAGGUCUUCGGAUUGUAAACUCCUGUUGUUGAGGAAGAUAAUGACGGUACUCAACAAGGAAGUGACGGCUAACUACGUGCCAGCAGCCGCGGUAA